UGCACGGUGGAGCAGUUUGUAGCACUGUUCCCUUGCAGCAGGAAGGUCCUGGGUUCGAUUCCCAGCCGGGGGUCUUUCUGCAU